GGGGGAUUGAGAGGCUGAAAGGCUGCUGGCUGACUGGAAUAAGUGCUCUUCCACACUGGCCAGCAAGGACUGAGAAUUGACUAUUCUGUCAAAAUGCCAGGUGGUGAGCAGGAGGCUAUGGAACCGGAGUGGUCAAACAUGCUGCACCCAACAAAUACAGCCCCAGAGAGGAGAAAGAGCAAGACUUCAGAUUGAUUUCAUGGAUGUUCAUCAUGGAGAGUGGCUUUG